AAGUCGUAACAAGGUUUCCGUAGGUGAACCUGCGGAAGGAUCAUUACAGAUUUUCAUUUACACACUUGUGCACAUUAACAAUAAACUUGUUUAAAAUUAUUUUAAUUCUAAAAACUUUCAACAACGGAUCUCUAGGUUCUC
rnacentral:misc_RNA from 1 species